GACGGAGGAUGCAAGCGUUAUCCGGAAUGAUUGGGCGUAAAGCGUUCGCAGGUGGCUGUUCAAGUCUGCUGUCAAAGACCGGGGCUUAACCCUAGAAAGGCAGUGGAAACUGAACGGCUGGAGUGCAGUAGGGGUAGAGGGAAUUCCCAGUGUAGCGGUGAAAUGCGUAGAGAUUGGGAAGAACACCGGUGGCGAAAGCGCUCUGCUGGACUGCAACUGACACUGAGGGACGAAAGCUAGGGGAGCGAAAGGG
rnacentral:rRNA from 1 species